rnacentral:rRNA from 1 species
UACGAAGGGGGCUAGCGUUGUUCGGAUUUACUGGGCGUAAAGCGCGCGUAGGCGGAUCGCUAAGUCAGGGGUGAAAUCCCAAGGCUCAACCUUGGAAUUGCCUUUGAUACUGGCAAUCUGGAGUUCGGGAGAGGUGAGUGGAAUUCCGAGUGUAGAGGUGAAAUUCGUAGAUAUUCGGAGGAACACCAGAAGCGAAGGCGGCUCACUGGCCCGAUACUGACGCUGAGGCGCGAAAGCGUGGGGAGCGAACAGG